CGAGCGUUGUCCGGAAUCACUGGGCGUAAAGGGCGCGUAGGCGGUUUGAUAAGGGUGUGGUGAAAGUCCGGAGCUCAACUCCGGAUCUGCCGUGCCGACUGUCAAACUCGAGGGCUGUAGAGGCAGACGGAAUUCCGGGUGUAGCGGUGGAAUGCGUAGAGAUCCGGAGGAAGACCGGUGGCGAAGGCGGUCUGCUGGGCAGCGUCUGACACUGAGGCGCGACAGCGUGGUGAGCAAACAGG
rnacentral:rRNA from 1 species